AGGAAAAGAAGAGAAAGAAGCAGAGAAAAGACAGAGAGAGGAGAAAGAACAAAAUUAGAGAGAGGAGAAUGAGAAAUUCAUUGAUAAUAUUAUGGAAUAGUUUCUCUAGUUACAAUAGCUGUUAUUUAUACAGCUAUAGACCUCUUUAGUAACUGUUCCUGCCACUCUCUAACUAAUUCCCAGCUGUCCCCUACUAAUUUCCAUACUAUUCCUUUAUUACAA
rnacentral:misc_RNA from 1 species